UACGGAGGAUGCGAGCGUUAUCCGGAUUUAUUGGGUUUAAAGGGUGCGUAGGCGGCUUUUUAAGUCAGCGGUGAAAGUUUGCAGCUUAACUGUAAAAUUGCCAUUGAUACUGUAGUUCUUGAGUAUGGUCAAGGCAGGCGGAAUGUGUAAUGUAGCGGUGAAAUGCUUAGAUAUUACACAGAACACCAAUUGCGAAGGCAGCUUGCUGGGCCAUUACUGACGCUGAGGCACGAAAGCGUGGGGAUCAAACAGGAUUAGA
rnacentral:rRNA from 1 species